rnacentral:misc_RNA from 1 species
UUUUUACCAUUCAAAGAACUAAAUUUUUACUAAUAAAUUUUAAGGUCUCACAUCCGAAUCACCAAAUUAAAAAAAAAAAAAGUUCUUGUAGUAAUUUCUUAAAUAAAUGGUUGAAAUUAACAAAUAUUGAUUGUUUUCUGGUUGGUAAUCAAUCACCACUAUUAAAAAACAAAGAUCAUGAAGUCUCCUCGACCGCUUCCAAUCAUUACUCGACGGUUUUCAACAAUUGGAAAUCUCAUAUGCAGCAUUCUUUCCACUCGCAUCUGUUGAUGCAACUGUGUAUAAUCCCGCCAGUAAUGAGACACAGAAUACGAGUCUGUGUUUCUCAUCAGGUAAG